UAGGAAUUUUGCGCAAUGGGGGAAACCCUGACGCAGCAACGCCGCGUGAGUGAUGAAGGCCUUCGGGUUGUAAAGCUCUUUUAACAGGAAAGAAAUAAAUAACGGUACCUGUAGAAAAAGCACCGGCUAACUCUGUGCCAGCAGCCGCGGUAAUACAGAGGGUGCAAGCGUUAUUCGGAUUUACUGGGCGUAAAGGGAGCGUAGGUUGUUUGUUAAGUUUGAUGUGAAAGCCCUCGACUCAAUCGAGGAAGUGCAUUGAAUACUGGCAGACUAGAGUAUAGGAGAGGAGAGCGGAAUUCCUGGUGUAGAGGUGAAAUUCGUAGAUAUCAGGAGGAACAACGAAGGCGAAGGCAGCUCUCUGGACUAUUACUGACACUGAGGCUCGAAAGCGUGGGGAGCAAAC
rnacentral:rRNA from 1 species